UCUUAUUCGUAUUUGAUAAACUACAAACUACAAAAAAUUCGAUAUGAUAAUUGAUAUCGAAACAAUAAACAUUCUAUUAUCAAAGAAUUAUAUUAUCACGGCCAUAUAUUCAUGAUAGUAACUCGAUAUUGCUCACAGAUAUGUACAAUAUAUUUAACAUAUUUAAUAUUGUUUUACAUAUCUGUGGUAUUGCUAAAAACCUCUGCUGCUCUCGUCCGGCGGGUAUGUACAUUUUGCGUUUGAUGACAAUAACCGACCAUGAUUAUAACCAUGAUUUCGUAUAUGAUCACAAAAUAACAACAAUGUAAUAAACAUGAUAACAUAGAAUAUGAUAAUAUGGUCCGGUGUAAACACAAUGGUGAACGAACAAUAAACAUGAAUGGAAACUUUUGGCGACGGGAUUCAUAUAUGACAGACGAAAUGAAAUAUCCACAGAUGGUGCCUGAAGACCAACUAGCUUCAUUGGCACAUUUUCAUAAUUACCAACUAGGUGACAAGAUUGGUGAAGGAUCUUUUGGAAAAGUUUUUAAAGCAAUACAUACAAAAAGUAACACAGUAGUUGCUUUUAAAUUUAUUUUCAAGGUAUUGAAAUUGAUUUGACAGAUAAUUGUUUCUUUUAUGUAAUGUUAUCUAGCCGUGUAAUUUGUUUUAGCUUGAUGAGUUAAAAACAUUACAACAAGAAGUUGAAAUUCAACAGAAAUUACAUCAUCCAAACAUUGUUAGAAUGCUAGAGUCAUUUGGGAACAACAGUGGGGUAAAGUAUUCAUUUUAUCAGUUUAACUUUAAGUUUAUUAAGUUUUAGUUAUUUACUAUUUGUGUAACAGAUUGCUUUAGUUAUGGAGUUUGUACCCAGAUCCCUUAAAGAAAUUAUAGAAACUGAAGGUAUAUUGAGUGAACAAAGAACACAGAUUAUUAUAUGUCAUCUUGUAUCAGCUUUAAAUUAUUUACACCGUAAAAAUAUUUUACACAGGUAAAUACAUAAAAUAAAAACUAUAAUUAGUAUAUUAUAUUUAAUUAUUUUGAUAUUUAGGGAUUUAAAACCACCAAAUAUUUUAUUGGACCAUAAUGAUGUUGCAAAAUUGUGCGAUUUUGGAUUAGCAAGGUUUAUGUUGACUGGUACACAAGUUUUAACUCAAGCGUCACUUAAGGGAACGCCCCUUUAUAUGGCACCUGAAGUAUUGAAUUCCCCUGUUAUACCUCCAACAUACAACCACAAUGCAGAUUUAUGGUAAAAAUUACACGAUCAAUAAAAUAGUUUACAUUUAAAAAAAAAUUAUACAUAUUUUGAUUAACUCAUUGAUAACAAAAUUAAUUUAGGUCUUUAGGGUGUAUAGCAUAUCAUUUACUUUGUGGAAAACCACCAUUUGAUACAAAAUGUUUGAUGCAUUUAGUCCAAAUGAUGAAAGAUCAGCCAAUUGUUUGGCCAAAUACUGUAUCACCUGUUUGUCAAAACUUUUUAAAGCAACUAUUAAAAAAAAAUCCAUUAGAAAGAUUAACAUGGCCUGGUCUAUUAGAACAUGAAUUUAUAAGAAAUCAAGUAAAUGUGGUAAAUCAACAAGAUGGUGAUUUUUCUUCUGAAUUAGAUGACCUUGUAUCUCCAUUAAUCUCAAUGAAAAUAAAUGAGGAUGAUGCGACAACUGAUUCUUCAACCAGUCAUGAUGUGACGUCUAUAGAAGACACGUAAUAAUUCUUUGUAAUUAUAUACUACAUAGUCAAAUUAUAAUAUAAAAAGAUUAUAUAUAUAUAUUAAUUGUUGUGUAGAACUGAGGAAGACCUCCGUUCUAGUCAUGCAAGCUGGUGUUCUGAAACAUGUCAGGAGUUGGAUAUUGUUUCGGACCAAACAAACUCUACUAGUAAUAAUACCAAUAAUAAUGAUUUUAUGAGCGAAGAAUGGAUUGCAAUUUUACGACAAAGUGCAUCGGAGGUAAAACUUGAAUUUCUAUUAUGUACUUGUCUAUGUUUUUGACUAUACCCAUGUUGUCUUGAUUAAUAAUUAGAUGUUUUAAUGAUAAACAUUAAACAUGUAUAAAGAAACUCUGCUCAGAAUCGUUUUUAUUAGCAAAAAUUAAUCAUUGCUUACAGAUUUACAUUAAAUUUCCCUCUACCUGCCCAACUUCUCACGUACAACAAUGGCCCACCUAUUGUGUGAAGUAGGUCUGUUUCUUUUUAAAAUUGAUUUUGCUUGUAUUGAAAUCUAUACAUAGUUAAAUUAAGCCAUUCUUCCUUAAUAUCUAUGCACUUUUCAAGAAAAAAUUACUGUUCAUAGGCCUAUGGAAAAAAAUAUUGAAUACUAAUGUAGUAAUUAUUUUAAAAAUUUGGUUAUUAAAAAAAAUUAUAGCAAAAAACAACAGUCAUAAUAAUUGAUAGAGAUUUCAAUACACUUCUAAUUUUGUUUUUGAAAUGCAUCAAUUCAUAGAGAUAAAAUAGAAUAUUUGGAUAUAUAUAUAUAUUAAUAUUUGUUUACCAUAUGACAUUUUUUUUUCAGGUUCUAUCUGGAAAUUUACAAUCCAUGAAUCAAAAAAGUUUUAUUUUAUUUGUAUUGUCGUCUUUAAAAACCACCACAGUGUCUUCCAAAUUAUUACAUUAUGUUGUUACACUUCUAGCAAUUCCUUUUGUUUCAUCAAAUAUUCAACAAACUGAGAAAGAUUCAAUAACCAAAGUAUUUUUAAUUAUAACAUUAUAUAUUUAUUUAUGUAUCAAUGAAGUGCUUUAUGUAUUUUAAGUAAUAUUAUUUUUUAUUUAUUGUAGAUUUAUAUAGAAACUAAUGUCAUCUCGUGUUUGAUGCAAGCGUUUUCUAAUGCUUCCACGUCACCUGCUCGUAAUUGUGUAUCACCUGCACCUCCUGAUACAUUAGGUUUACUAGAAUUAACAAGCUUGGAAUCAGUGCUUCUUUUAGUGGAAGGUUUAUCUUUAGAUAAACCUGUUGAAUGUCUAAAACAGUUUAUCGAUAGUGUUGUUUUUUUAAAAAUUGUACCACUUUUACAAAAGUGUUUAUUACUGAGUCACGGAAAUACAGAUUUGGUGACAAAUACACUUGCAGUAUUAAUAUUAACUUUAAUUUAUUUACCACAAAACAUUAGUUUGGUGCAAGACAUUAUUAUUGGAAAACAUUUAGAAGGUAAAGUAUAAUACAUAUUAUUAAAAUUAUAUCAUUACAAUUUUAUAAUUUAAAUAUAAUGUUGUCUUAUAGGUAGGAUUACGAAUGUUGAACUUCAUAAAUUGCUUAGAAAUAAUGAAGAUCCAUCAGUGAGAGAAAGAACAUGUGUACUUUUAUUGCAUAUGACUAGACUGAGUCCAAAUAGUCUUUCAGAUGUUUGGCAUCAAACUCUUACAAAUGAUAUUGAAUUUUUAAAAGAUGAUCCAUGUCCUAAUGUUAUCCAGGUACAUCAAAAUUGAGUUUUAUGACAUUUUUAUUUAAUUUUAUAUACAGUUUAUCCUAUUAACAUUUAUAAUUUAUUAUUUUGACCUAAAUGCCAGACACUGAAGACAAAUUAUAAUUUUACUGAAGAUUGUUGUACCAUUUAAUAUUUGUAUAGUGUUCAUCAUAAUUUUAUCUGUAAAUUAUUAUUAAGUGUCUAAUUAUUACAAAUAUUUAAUGUAUUAUUUUUCCAUGAAUAUAAAAUUAUAUGUCAUUACUUUAUAUGAUAAAACCCAUCUAUAAAUUAUAUUCUAAAUUUUAAAUUCAAACAUUUAUUUUUUUUAUAUUGCUGUAUGUAAAUCAAAUUUGAAUUAAUGUUUUGUGGUAUAAAACUAAAAUUUUAGACUAUCUUUAAAAACUAUAUUUUUUAUUAUGUUUUAAGUUAAAAAAUAUAGGGGAAGGGGGAAUAUAAAAUUUCAAAAACAUAUUAUAUAUAUUUUUUUUAAAAAAAAACAAUUCAAUAAUAAUUGUCAAAAAUAGAUGGUUAAAAAGUUAUACAAUUAUUGACAAAUAUCAUGGUGAAUAUUAUAUGUAUUAAUUUUAGUCAAAUAGUUUUCUUAUUUAUUUUUGUCAUUUUGUUUAAUUUUAUUUGAUAUACAAUUUAUCCUUAAAAAAAAAUAUUAAUUUUUAUAAUUACUGAUGAUUUACUUAUUAGGUGUAUACAAAUAUAUAGGUAUAUAAGUACAAUUAAAGUAAUCCCUGAUGUUCAGUAUAAUUAAGUUCAUUGUAAAUGUUUGAAAUUGAUAUAUUCUACUACAUUUAGGAUUUCUUUAGUUAUUAUUAAAAAAUAUUACAGCUUUUAUACUGACUAACAUCAAUAAUAAAAUAGCUUUUUGGAAUUUGAUCUGAUCUGAUAAAUUGGAAUCUAUAUUAAUCUUAUGACUAGAUUCUUUAAAUUUGUGUAUUAAAACUAUUGAUUUUAUGUAUUUAUAAAAUGAUUUAAUUUAUUGAAAUAUAUCAAUAACUUUAUUUUAAUUAUAGGCUGCUUUUUAUACAUCAGAACUAUUGAAGAAAACACAGUUUUACAAUGUGGAAACAGAACAAUAAGAGGAAACUUAUACAGGGAUCUUCAACUUUUUUACACAGCCGGCCACGUAUUGUUUUCUAAAAUUCUCGCAGGCCGUAUUCAUAGUAAAAAAAAUGUAUUUUGUACCAAAAUUGAGUAUUUAUUAUUAUACAAUUUAUGAUUACGAAUUAUUAUUAUUAUUAUUACAAAAUAUAUAAUUUUUUUUUUUAAAAAAAGUAUUUAACAACAAAAAAUUAAGAAAUAUUCAUGAUGGAAGUGAAUAAAAAAUAUUGAAAGUUCUUUGACAAAUUUUAAGUGAGUAAAUUUCUUAAUAAUUAAUAUUAAUGUAUGUAUAUAGAUACCUAGAAAAAUAUCAAAAACCAUCCUUAUAUUUUUCAUUUCCCUCCCUUACCUUAUCAAUAUACUACAAUCAAAAUUUCCAUUUUUAAAUUUCCUUAAAUAUAUAAGAUAUUUAACACCAUUGUCAUCUUCCUAAAAGUCAUGUUGAAAAGGGUUAGAAAAUUGAAAAUCAAAAUAUUGACUGUUUGGAAUUUUUUUAAGUGGCUAUACGAAUAGAACACCUUUAUAGUAUUUUCUAUAUGGAUCUAUUGGUUUUACUAUGUGUUUUUUUUAUUAUUAUUAUUAUUUUUUGUGUCCAAAGUAUCAAGUAUUACUGUUUCUGAAAACUAAUUUUAUCUAUUUAGUGCAUUGGAAAGGUCAUUUUGAUUUUCUAAUGGGUUUUCAAAAUAAUUGGAAAAAACCUAAAAGUAAAUUGUAGGUAAACUGCCAAAUAUGUAUGGCUUACCAAGGUGUUACUAUUUUCAUUGUUUUUAUUUAUUUACACAAUGUUUUUUUACCAGAAAUAUUUCUCCAAUCAAAAAUUGAUAAGAGAUAAAUUUUGUUCUUUUUAACAUAUAGCUACUGACCAACGAGAGUCGUUUUUUAAUAUUAGAAGGAUUUUUGAUAAUAAUAACCAAAAAGUACGAAAAAUAUGAUUUUUUUUUUAAAGUACAGGGUAACAGUAUAAUUUUUUUAACCAGAAAUAUAGAAACACGAGACCAUUUUGUUGAUUUUUUAAUCAAAUUGGUUUUCAAGAAAGUCAUUUUUUGAUUUUCUUUAUAUUUUUUUUAAUAAUUGAGCAAAACCGAAAAACAUGUAGAAAGAACUGGACAAUUUUCGAAAAUAAUUCAGUUCAAAAUAUUUGUAGAGAUUUGAAAUUUUGACAGACAACUAAAAUUUGUUUUUUUAGACCUGCUAAAAAUUUUAAAACAUUUGAGCCAUUUUUAUAGACAUUUUAAUUUUGUGAGUUUUUUACAUAAUUUUUAUUUGGUAGGUACUUAUAAAUUACGCAUAAAAUUGUUAAACUUAACAGAAUGCUUGAAAAUUUGACAGGAGGUUCAUUAUAAGCUGUACUUAGUGGUAAAAAAAACAAAAUUGAUAAGAGUUUUUAAAAAUUACAUUUUGAUGAAAAUCCUAAAUAUUAUGGUCUUUCAAAUCAUGUAUAAUUAUGAACUUCAUUCCAAAUCAUUUUUCUUUAACAAUGGUUUAGUUAGUAAAACAUUAGUAAAAGGUAUAAUAAAUAACUUUAUGUAUCCUACCUUCCUUACUACCCACCUACAACAGUGGCUGCACCCAUCCCCAGUAUCAGCUCUUUUUUUAAGUUUAGUUCUAACUCCAUAAAUGAGUAUUAACUCUAAACCAGUUGUAUCUCGGCGGGAAAUGGGAAAAACUAAAAUUCAAUCAUGAGAUAUUGGUUGGAUAGGGUACAAAAAAUAUAAUUAUUUAGCGUUUUUCGAUAUUUUGAUUUUUCUCCCAAGUGCCAGACUUCUAUUAAAUAUCAAUAUCUGUAAUUCUGCAUAUUAUAAUUUUAUUUGUUAUUAUUGGUUUUCGGGCAUUUUUUGCUCAUCUGCUUCCACUCCGCCUCUCCCUGAAUGCAGCUGAGUCCAUAGCUAUGGUUUUCAUUUCUUAUUUCCAGAUGCGAUCUAACUUAACCAUCUGGCCGCCAAAUAUGCCCAACCCAGUUUAUUUUAUUGACUUUUUUGAAUUCCAAUUAUGUCUGUAUAAUAAUUAUUGAACUUGCAUAAAAAUAGAUUGUAUCUAUUUAAACUUUAAAAAGCCGUAAUAUUUUUUUUCUUAUUAUUCUUACCAAUAUAUUUUUAUUUUUUCUAUUUUAUUAUAUUAUACUCAAAAUAUUUUUCUUUCAUCGCGACCCAUAGGUUGGAGGAAACAUUAUUUUAAAGCAUGUGUAACUUAAUUCCACUCAGAAUUGUUUUCUGUUAGCAAUGACCAAUUAUUAUGUAUAUAUAUAUACUUACAAUUUCCCCUUUACCUUCCAAACCUCUUUCCUAAACCAAUGGUCCAUCCAUCACUCAAAUUAUGUCUGUUUUUUAAUAUCAAUUAUAAAAUAAAUUAUUCUUUCAAAAUGAAUUUGUUGUUUUAUAAAAUGCAUUGUUUUUUUUGUUGUUUUAGCUUUAAUGAGCAAUUUUUAGACUAAAAUAUUAAUGAGGAAGACAUUAUUUAUGACAUAACAUCUUAUUAUGACUAUAGUGAAGAUAAUAAAAGAAAUGAAGUAAGUAAUUUGCACAUUACUUUGAUCUUCUAAAAAACGAAAGAAUACUUAUAAAAUUAUAAAUUGACGGUUCAAUACAGGGUGAACAAUACAAUGGAAAACACUCAUUAUCUCAGAAAAUAAUAAUUUUUUUUGGAAUUUGGUUUUUAGAAAAUUUAAGAAACAAGCAACUUUAAAAUGUCCCAUUACCAUUAUUUUUUUGCAAUGGGUAGAUAAUUUGAUUUUGAAAUAUUUACUUAUAUGAACAUAACAUGUGACAUGUGAAUAAUCAUAUUAUUGAAAUACACUUAUGUUACUUUUUCCAAAAACUGAUUUACAUAUAAUACAAUUUUAAAAUCAUAAAAUAUGUUUGUCAAUAUAAUCGUAAAUAAUUGGAAACUGAAGAAUAUUAAAACUGCUUGAAACUAAAUUUUUGUAAAUAAAUCAACAUGCCUUGAGUUUAUUUAGAAACUGGUGUGUGCAAAUUUAAAAUGAUUAUGUAGAUAAUUGAAAAAUGCUUGAAUAAUAAAAAAACAGUUAAUUGGUACAAAACAGGGUGUAACACAAAUAUCUAUAAUUCUUGUGCUGUUCAAUAUUUUUAAGGUUUUUUUUUUUUUAAUAAUUAUUAAGGCAUUGUACGAAACAUGUACUUACUAAAUUUUAUAUCCUUAAAUAUUCAUAAUAAAUAUAUAUAAUUAAUAUAUCUGUCAAUGAUGUACUCAAUGAUGAGCUCUUAACUCACUAAAACAUACUUCAACUGCCCAGAUGACAUAUCCGCUUAAUGUUUGUACAAUUGUUCCUAUUAUAUUGCUUUUCUAUCUAUUUACUGUUCAGAUGCUCACUAGACUUGGGAGUUUUCUCUACUGUUUGGGAAAUAUUCUCUAUAAUGCCGUUAUUAAAAUCAGGUAACCCAAUUCGUGUCCAAAAUUACAGACCGAUUUUCAUAAUACCUCAUCUUGGUAAAUUAAUUUGAAUUACUGAUAUACUCUAGAAUAAAACGUAGUAUAAAUCAGGUUAUUAUAAAUGAGCAACAUGGUUUUAGAUUGCAAAAAUCAACCAUAACGAGCAGUGUUGCCUUCACUUCUUAUUCAUCAGAAGUAAUGUUUUUUAAAUAAAUAAAUAAAUAAAUAAAUAAAUAUCAAACAUACACAUUUUAUAAUACAAAACGAU